rnacentral:rRNA from 1 species
UACGUAGGGGGCAAGCGUUGUCCGGAUUUAUUGGGCGUAAAGAGCGUGUAGGCGGCCAUGCAGGUCCGCUGUGAAAACUCGAGGCUCAACCUCGAGAGGUCGGUGGAAACCGCAUGGCUAGAGUCCGGAAGAGGAGAGUGGAAUUCCCGGUGUAGCGGUGAAAUGCGCAGAUAUCGGGAAGAACACCCGUGGCGAAGGCGGCUCUCUGGGACGGUACUGACGCUGAGACGCGAAAGCGUGGGGAGCGAACAUG